UACGGGGGGAGCAAGCGUUGUUCGGAUUUACUGGGCGUAAAGGGCGCGUAGGCGGCCACUGCAAGUCAGUUGUGAAAUCUCCGGGCUUAACUCGGAACGGUCAAGUGAUACUGUCGGACUAGAGUACAGAAGGGGCAACUGGAAUUCUCGGUGUAGCGGUGAAAUGCGUAGAUAUCGAGAGGAACACCUGCGGCGAAGGCGGGUUGCUGGGCUGAUACUGACGCUGAUGCGCGAAAGCCAGGGGAGCGAACGGG
rnacentral:rRNA from 1 species